GAUGAACGCUGGCGGCGUGCCUAAUACAUGCAAGUCGAGCGAACGGACGAGAAGCUUGCUUCUCUGAUGUUAGCGGCGGACGGGCGAGUAACACGUGGAUAACCUACCUAUAAGACUGGGAUAACUUCGGGAAACCGGAGCUAAUACCGGAUAAUAUUUUGAACCGCAUGGUUCAAAAGUGAAAGACGGUCUUGCUGUCACUUAUAGAUGGAUCCGCGCUGCAUUAGCUAGUUGGUAAGGUAACGGCUUACCAAGGCAACGAUGCAUAGCCGACCUGAGAGGGUGAUCGGCCACACUGGAACUGAGACACGGUCCAGACUCCUACGGGAGGCAGCAGUAGGGAAUCUUCCGCAAUGGGCGAAAGCCUGACGGAGCAACGCCGCGUGAGUGAUGAAGGUCUUCGGAUCGUAAAACUCUGUUAUUAGGGAAGAACAUAUGUGUAAGUAACUGUGCACAUCUUGACGGUACCUAAUCAGAAAGCCACGGCUAACUACGUGCCAGCAGCCGCGGUAAUACGUAGGUGGCAAGCGUUAUCCGGAAUUAUUGGGCGUAAAGCGCGCGUAGGCGGUUUUUUAAGUCUGAUGUGAAAGCCCACGGCUCAACCGUGGAGGGUCAUUGGAAACUGGAAAACUUGAGUGCAGAAGAGGAAAGUGGAAUUCCAUGUGUAGCGGUGAAAUGCGCAGAGAUAUGGAGGAACACCAGUGGCGAAGGCGACUUUCUGGUCUGUAACUGACGCUGAUGUGCGAAGGCGUGGGGAUCAAACAGGAUUAGAUACCCUGGUAGUCCACGCCGUAAACGAUGAGUGCUAAGUGUUAGGGGGUUUCCGCCCCUUAGUGCUGCAGCUAACGCAUUAAGCACUCCGCCUGGGGAGUACGACCGCAAGGUUGAAACUCAAAGGAAUUGACGGGGACCCGCACAAGCGGUGGAGCAUGUGGUUUAAUUCGAAGCAACGCGAAGAACCUUACCAAAUCUUGACAUCCUUUGACAACUCUAGAGAUAGAGCCUUCCCCUUCGGGGGACAAAGUGACAGGUGGUGCAUGGUUGUCGUCAGCUCGUGUCGUGAGAUGUUGGGUUAAGUCCCGCAACGAGCGCAACCCUUAAGCUUAGUUGCCAUCAUUAAGUUGGGCACUCUAAGUUGACUGCCGGUGACAAACCGGGGGAAGGUGGGGAUGACGUCAAAUCAUCAUGCCCCUUAUGAUUUGGGCUACACACGUGCUACAAUGGACAAUACAAAGGGCAGCGAAACCGCGAGGUCAAGCAAAUCCCAUAAAGUUGUUCUCAGUUCGGAUUGUAGUCUGCAACUCGACUACAUGAAGCUGGAAUCGCUAGUAAUCGUAGAUCAGCAUGCUACGGUGAAUACGUUCCCGGGUCU
rnacentral:rRNA from 1 species